rnacentral:rRNA from 1 species
AUGGACACCGAAUGGGAACUAAAAUUUCCUCUUGUAACCGUGCGAGCCCUUGAGCAUAUCGAGGCAUUAUCGGAUCAUGCACCCAUCAUUCUGGAUUCUAACUCUACAAAGCCACCCACCCGCCGCCCCUUCAAAUUUGAAUUGGGAUGGUUGCAUAGGGAAGGAUUUGUGGACAUAGUUAAGAAUGUUUGGGAGCGGCCUGCCAUUGGUCGUACACCGAUUCAAAGAUGGAACUUUAAAAUAAGGGCCAUGAGGCAACACCUCACUGGAUGGGCGAAACACACCAACAGAAUAUAUAAAAAAGAAAAGCAACGGCUCUCCACCAUUAUUGACGACCUCGACAAGAUUGCGGAGACGCGCACCUUAUCUGAACAAGAUAUUGAAUUGAAAAAUCAAUCUAAUAAGAAGGUGGCUAGGCUUUUGCGAGAAGAGGAAAUCAAAUACUACCAGAGAUCUAAAGCUGACUUCAUUUUGAUGGGUGAUAGUAAUACAAGAUACUUCCAAUUGAUUGCCAAUGGGCGACAUAGGAAGAAAUGUAUUUACAGUCUCCAACAAGAUGAGGGGUGGAUCGAUGGUCAAGAAGAGCUCAAAAGGUACAUCACGAAAUACUACAAAUCUCUAUUCAGGGCGACGGUUGAAGGAAACAUCACCCUUGAUGAGACUCGAACAGAUGAUAUUCCACAGGUCACGGCAGAAGAAACUGAUAUCCUUACGACACCAUUCUCAGAAGAGGAGGUGAGAGCGGCGGUGUUCCAGAUGGAACACAACAAAGCUCCAGGACCUGAUGGCUUCCCCGCAGAAUUCUAUCAGAAUUUCUGGGAUAUCAUCAAGACUGACCUUCUGGAAUUGUUCAAUUGUCUUCAUGCCGACAGACUUGAUCUAUUCAGACUUAACUUUGGUGAGAUUGUCUUGUUGCCGAAGGUUAAGGAGGCCGAACGGAUCCAACAGUUUAGACCAAUAUGCCUCCUUAAUGUCAGCUUUAAGAUUUUCACCAAAAAAAGCAUGAGUGGAGUAGUAUUCAAAAUUGACUUUGAAAAAGCAUAUGACAAGGUCAAAUGGUCUUUCCUCCAACAAGCUCUAAGGAUGAAAGGUUUCUCCGAUAAAUGGCGCCAGUAG